GAUGAACGCUGGCGGCGUGCCUAAUACAUGCAAGUCGAGCGAACAGACGAGGCGCUUGCUCCUCUGACGUUAGCGGCGGACGGGUGAGUAACACGUGGAUAACCUACCUAUAAGACUGGGAUAACUUCGGGAAACCGGAGCUAAUACCGUAUAAUAUAUUGAACCGCAUGGUUCAAUAGUGAAAGACGGUUUUGCUGUCACUUCUAGAUGGAUCCGCGCCGCAUUAGCUAGUUGGUAAGGUAACGGCUUACCAAGGCAACGAUGCGUAGCCGACCUGAGAGGGUGAUCGGCCACACUGGAGCUGAGACACGGACCAGACUCCUAAGGGAGGCAGCAGUAGGGAAUCUUCCGCAAUGGGCGAAAGUUUGACGGAGCAACGCCGAGUGAGUGAUGAAGGUCUUCGGAUCGUAAAACUCUGUUAUUAGGGAAGAACAAAUGUGUAAGUAACUAUGCACGUCUUGACGGUACCUAAUCAGAAAGCCACGGCUAACUACGUG
rnacentral:rRNA from 1 species